rnacentral:pre_miRNA from 1 species
CACCUCUCAGAAGGCUAUAACUCUAGUUCAGGUCCUCACUAACUUUUGUCUAAACUAUUACAAUAGUCUCCUAAUUGUUCUC